UGCUCAUCAGUUUUUCUUCCCGAACGUUUCAAUCUUUGUAGCAAAGUUUCACUCACAGCUGUGAUGACGGAAGUAGGGUAACCGAAUGAUUUAAGUCUUUCGGUCUGAUGCAUUAGGCUAGCCUUCAUUUGGUGCUCACAUGAUUUGUUAAUUGCACUUUGUCAUUCCAUUUUUUUU
rnacentral:lncRNA from 1 species